rnacentral:rRNA from 1 species
CCUACGGGGGGCAGCAGUAAGGAAUAUUGGUCAAUGGACGAAAGUCUGAACCAGCCAUGCCGCGUGAAGGAUGAAGGUCCUCUGGAUUGUAAACUUCUUUUAUAUGGGACGAAAAAAGGUCAUUCUUGAUCACUUGACGGUACCAUUUGAAUAAGCACCGGCUAACUCCGUGCCAGCAGCCGCGGUAAUACGGAGGGUGCAAGCGUUAUCCGGAUUCACUGGGUUUAAAGGGUGCGUAGGCGGGUCGGUAAGUCAGUGGUGAAAUCUUCGAGCUU